UUGGGCCAUUCUAAUAUACACAUAUAUUUUGAAUGAUUAUGAAUCUUGACUAUUCAUCAGAAAUAUAGGGGACAUUUUGCCUGUUCGAAUAGAUCUCUAAUAAAAGUUAAUCAACAACAACUUGGAGGAGAGUAACGAACAAACACAAACACAAACAUUUUCAACAUUUGCACAAACAUGCAAGUUUAAUGUUCAGCUGAUCGAAAUUUUAUUUACAUCCAAAAUAUUUCUCGAUAGUAAAAUGAAAGUGUGAGCUGCUUUACCGGUCAACUGUUAUUUCUCCUGGUUAUAAUUAACUUUAUUUUCAGUUAAUAACUUAAAAAUUAAAUUCCGAAAAAUGAUUGGUUACAAGCAUUAUCGCUAUUUCAUUCAAAAUUUUGCUUAUUAUUUCCCACUAAUUCGCGAUCAGUGUCGUCACACAGCAACACUCGAAUAGUUUGGCAGCACAAAUAAAAAUUGAUAGUGCAGCAUGAGCAAGUUGAAAUAGGAAGCAAUCCAAAGCGUCAAAAUACAAAGCAUCAGUCUCUUAUUUCUAAACCGCACUAGAAGAAAAACCUACACGACGAGACUACAAUGCUCCGUGUAAACACCAUAUGCUGCUGUCAAAACAGUUCCUGCUAGCCUGUCACAGAACAAUCCACUCAAACUGCAGUCUGACAUAGAGAGCUGCAUCACCAAGACACGUAAGAAGACACCUCGGUCAUCUAGAAGCAGACAUCGACCAACAGCUUCAUUCACCACUGAGCCGCGAGGCAUACUUUGGGGGCAUCAACAACCUUAAUCGCGAAGCCGUCAUUUCCGCAAAACGAGGACGCCAAGAAAUUCAACUCCCGCGCGAAACUAGAAAAAGUCUAAAACUUGCCCAACCUAGUUGAAAAUUAGUAUCUAACGGUGGUUGCGCACAUUUGACAUUAUUUACAAUCUGCCGAGGUUUAGAAAAGAGCCAGAUACUUUGUAUUUUGACGUUUUGGAAUGCACCCAUACAUGUAUUUUGUAAAUCAGCUUACGAUCUUUCAGUUGCAGCCAUAACUUGGAAAUUUUAUUUCUGAGACUCAUUUCCGGAAAGUGACAAAAAGAUCAUUCCGGCUGUUCACACGUGGAAAUAAAAUUUAUCUUUGUCAAUGCAACAGCCAAUUGCGUUGGAAAGUACGAAAUAUUGCCACGCCUGACGCGCUCUUUAUUCUUGCUGGCAAUUUUUUCAACAAGAACUAGCAGCUUCCCCUUCAAGUUCAUUGUCACUUGGCGCUUCCAAUUACCCCAAUUUCGCAAGUUUUUUGAGUGCGCGAACGCCAAAACCCCAUAAUUUGUUAUAAUUAUCAAUAACAAGGCCAACAGUUUUCAGGCGCAAAACCUGGACCAUCUAUUUCCUAAAAAAUUUUUUGCGCUGAAUAUUGGCACAAAUUUUAUCUCUAAAAUCUUCUUAAUUUUUUCAAUUCCAAUUAUUCAAACAAUGCAAAUUCCAAAUGGCGGACCCAAUAUUGUACUUUCAAUCGCAAAAAAUUGUUUUGGGAGUCUGAAAAUUGCUGAUCUAUGUAGUCUCUAACCAAUUAACCUUAUAACAAGGGAGGUGUGACUGUCUAUAACGUUUCUUUUGAGCUUUCAAGUCUUCUGAAUACUUACUACCUGAGAAAAGAGAUUGAAAACACACAAUUUCAGUUGCUAUGAGUCGUCGUUCUAUUCUACAUUUUAUAGGUUAUCCUAUUAACAAACUACUAUUAAUAAGAAACAAUAACAAUAACGCUUAAUAAUUUUAAAAACCAAAAUCAUAUCGUUUUAACGCGAACAAUGCAUGCCAAUAACUUUUCAAUUUAACUUAAUACAUCUUGAUUUUUCAAACACUCUGAAUGUGCUAAUUUUUCCAUGAACCUUCAUCAUUCAGGUUAUAUUAAAUCAAUUGAAGUAACAGCCAAUUUUUAUAGCACAAUAAGUACCUACAUUUCAAAUAUGUUCGUAAUCGUAUAAGUAAUAAUCAAAAGCUAAAAUCAAAAAUAUAUUCACGCUCACUGUUUCUAUUAAGUACAGUACAUAUGUAAAUGAAAAAUGCAUGGAAAAAACUUUUUUAUUAUUUUAUUAUUUCUUUUGGUUUUUUAUGGGACAACAUUAGAUGGACGGCAGGAUUCAUAAUUCAUCCCGCCGGGAUUCGAAUAGCACGGGCCAGCGCCAACAGACAAGUAGCCAAUCGAAAUCGGCCGCUAAACAAGGCUACUCACCCUCUUAUUGGACUGGACAGAAUUGAAUGUGAAAAGAAAGGCGUUGCUACAAACACAUUAAUGCAUACACAUAUAUAUAAAUAUUAUAUGUAUAUGUUAAUAAGAAACUCGAUUCCGAUUUAGUAACAACGUAAUCCAAUCAGCUCUAUAAAUCGGUUCCAGCUGCGAAGCAAUUGCGUGCACACAACCAUAACCACACACACAUACACAUACGUACUUCUUUUACUUUUCACAUUGUCUGUCUGCCGGUCCUAUAGUUUUCCUUUAUACGAAUGUAUUGAUGCUUAUGUAUGGUACAUUAGUAUAAAAAAAUAGAAUAGAAUAGAUACGGGCGAAAAAGCGACGAAUUAAAAUUUUGUAUGUUCUUUCCCGUCGGUCCUGCGGUAAUCCCUUUUAAGAAGAUCCAUGUAUUUCCUAAAUAAAUGCACUCAUUUAAGAUAAAAAAAAAAAAAAAAACAUAUUUAAACCCAUAAAAACCACACCCAUAUACCACCACCCACAUUCAUACAACCGUAAAACUUACACUAAAGAAAUUACAAAGCUAAUUAAAAUAAAUAUUAUAUAAUGCUAUUACGAAGCAAAGAGAAUGUUUAAUAAGAAAAAGAAAACUGUAGCGGAGAAAUGAAGAUAGAAGACCACACACACACACACAUACACGACAGAGUUGAAAGGAAGAAAUAUAUAAAUAAAAAUUAAAAUUUAAAUAUUGUAAUCGGUUUAAACUAUAUGUAUAAUUAUAAUAACCUUAAUAUUUAAAUUAAAUACAAAAUACGAUUAAAUCCAAAAUAAACACAGCAAACGCAUAGUUCAUACGCAUGCGCGGUGAAGUCGAAAUUUAAAA